UCCAUUGUAGUCUAGUUGGUUAGGAUACUCGGAUCUCAUCUGAGAGACCCGGGUUUAAUUCCCAGCAACAGAA
rnacentral:tRNA from 1 species